CGGGGUGAGUAAUGUCUGGGAAACUGCCUGAUGGAGGGGGAUAACUACUGGAAACGGUAGCUAAUGCCGCAUAACGUCGCAAGACCAAAGAGGGGGACCUUAGGGCCUCUUGCCAUCGGAUGUGCCCAGAUGGGAUUAGCUAGUAGGUGGGGUAACGGCUCACCUAGGCGACGAUCCCUAGCUGGUCUGAGAGGAUGACCAGCCACACUGGAACUGAGACACGGUCCAG
rnacentral:rRNA from 1 species